UACGUAGGUGGCAAGCGUUGUCCGGAUUUACUGGGCGUAAAGGGCGUGCAGGCGGUCUGUUAAGUGCAGGGUGAAAGCUCCCGGCUCAACUGGGAGAGGUCCUUGCAUACUGGCGGACUUGAGGGGGGUAGAGGAAAGUGGAAUUCCCGGUGUAGUGGUGAUAUGCGUAGAUAUCUGGAGGAACACCGGUGGCGAAGGCGGCGUUCUGGACGGCAUCUGACACUGAGAAACGAAAGCCAGGGGAGCAAACGGG
rnacentral:rRNA from 1 species